GCGAUUUUCAUCUCACCUCACUUCACGAUUCCUUCACUGUUCUCAGCCUCUCUCAGAUCGCAUUCCUUCACUUCACGAUUCCCACUCCAUGGCGAACUCUGAUUGAACCUCUCAGCGAUGGCGAACUCCAUGGCUUGAACCUUUCAGAUCGCGACUCCCACCUCACCUCAUGGAUUGAAGUGUUUGUGGUUUGCUUAGGAAUUAUGGCUCAAAUUUCUCUUGUUUUGGCAAAAUCGAGUGGUUUCCUGGGUUCGAUUUCUUCCACUGCGCACGCUCUGCUUCGGAUCCAAACAAGGUGGCAUUUAGGACCAAGGUAUUUCACCCAAAGAUCAACAGUAAUGGCAGUAUAUGCCUUGACAUUCUUAAAGAACAGUGGAGUCCAGCACUAACCAUUUCCAAGCUCAGGAUACGUGAGAGGCAUGGGCUUUGGUGUUUGUCCAUCUCAAGUGUUGGAAUCUGGUAGCAGCUCUAGUAGCUCGCAAUUUGCUGGCAUCACAUUGGCUGAAUGGAAUGCCAUGCAAUCAAAAUUUCAAGCUUUAGAGGAACGAAUGAAUUCUUUCAUUCAACAGUUUGGAGGUCAAGGGCCACCUAACCAGGUUUGAACCAGAUAUUGCUUGACUCCAUACAUUUUCAGUUUGCACAUCCCAAAGUAGUCCCUCAACCUAUGGUUUUCUUGGAUGAUGCAAUCCUUACUUCUAUUCUGUAAGUUUCUUUUUAUGAAUCAUUUGAAUACAUUUGGGUGGAUGAAAGUGCUAGUACAUUUGACAUAUUUCCAAGGUGUUUGUAAGCUAAAUAUGAUGUUAGCAAGUGUGCAUGCUGUUUUAUUUAAAGAGAUCAUUUUAUAAA